rnacentral:lncRNA from 1 species
AGAUGAUGAUUUGUGGUUGUAGUACCGAUAAUUCUCUAGUUUCCGAAGUUAUUCGUUUUGUUUUUGUUGUAACAGUUAAAAACAAAUCCUCGUUUCCUUUUUUUCUGGACAAUCGUUUUAAGGCCUGUUUCUAUGUUCGUUGUUCAAUCAAGUUCUGGUUUUACUUCUCACUUGCGUCCUCGUGAUUUAUCUGGAAUCGAGCUCCUUGGUUGGAUAUUAUGCCCGUUAGUAUUGCUUGCGGCUAUUAUUAUUUUUAAAGUAUUUAUUAGGCCUGGACAAAAUAGUCGGAACCGAAGAACCGAACUGGAACUAUACCGAAAUACCCGAAACUGGAUCCGGACCAAUGCCCUCAAAUAUCCGAAUGUGCUUAUAUUUUUAUAUCCGAAAAAAUUUAACCGGAACCGAACGGGUACCUGAAUAUAUAAAAAAUAUUAAUUAUAUAUACAUAUAACAUCACUAAAUAAAUAUUUUUAAUUUAAAAUUCUAUUAAAAGUAUUUGAAAAUAGUUAAGGAUAACUAAAUUAUUAUAAAGUAUUCAAUCUACCCGAAAUUAUCCGGAUAGUUUUAUCCGAAAUAUCCAAAGUAAUUCAAAAUGUCCAAAUUUCUUAUCUAAAUCAUCCUAAUUAUUUGAUAUUUAUCCUAAAUAACCGAUAUUUUAUCCAAAUUAUCCGAAUUACCCGAACUAUCUGAACUCGAACCGGAUCCAAAUAAGAAUCGAACUUUUUCCGGAUAUUUUCCGGUUCCUACAUUUACUAUCCGAACCGAACCAAACUCAAUACUAUCCGAACCGAACCGUAAAUAGGUCAAGUACUAAAUGGAUCCUCUAGCCCUUAUCCAAACUACCCGAAACCCGAAAUACCCGAACCGAACUGAACCGAUACCCGAAAUGCUCACGCCUAGUAUUUAUACAGAAAGAGUGGGUUAAUUAUAAGAACUGUAAACGCAUUAGCCUUGUGCAAUGUGCAUGAACACUUUUACAAGUAAAACUGAGAUUAUCAGUUUUGAUAUAAGAUUAUGUUAGGUGGCUAGAGAUAUAAGAAAAUGGUGCUUCUUUAACAUAGAUAACAUCAGCUUCUUCUUUUAGAACAAAUCACUGCUGAUUGAAUAUCAUUUUCAGUUGAUGAUUCCUAACUUAAUCUGUAGCUCUGUAUUGUUGGGGAAAAGAUAAUUGUGUUGUGUUGUAUCAUGUAUGUUAUUAAGACUGCCUUUUUACAAAACCCCACAACCCCAGAUUUAUGAUCUAUAGUUACUUUAUUAGAGAGAGGAAACAUGUUUUAAUGAUCAUUGUUUUGUAUGAACAAUGUUACUUUCUAAAGCUUUACAAGCCCCUAUUAAUUUCCUUGUGGCAGGUGAAGUAUUUGGUGGAAACAGAGGAUUUAGACGUAUCCCACCAGAGAAGGGUAUUUUCCCUUUGGAUCACUUCCACGAAUGUGAUUCAGUAUUACUUCAAUAACUCUAGGUAUACAUGCUUGUGAUCUUUCAGUUAUUCACUUGGUAUUAUUCUUGGCUGGCAUCAUUGUUAUUUUCAGGAGAAGAAACUAUAUCUCGGCUGUAUUAAAGUUUCAGCUCACAAAUCUGAGCAAUGUAGACAUCUCUCAAAGAAAUAUCUCCAGUGUCGAAUGGCCAAGUGAGUCCUUUCACUCAGGGCCGGCUCAACAUUCUUAGGGGCCCUAGGGCAAAAAAAAAAAAUUUACCCUCUAAAAUUUAUAUACUUAUAAUGUUUAAAAUAUAUAUAAAAUUUAAUAUGUAAUAUUUUGUAUAUAUUUGUAAUGAAAAUAAAACUAUAUACAUAUCAAAUAAUUUUGGACCCUUUUUAUUUUGAUUUAUUAUAUUUAUAAUUUUUUUUAUAUAUAAAAAUAUAAAUUUAUAAAAAAUUUGGGCCCCUUAAUUAUUAUUAUACAGGAGGACACGAGCUUGGGCCCGGGGCGGUCGCACCGCUUGGCCUCCCCACUGAGCCGGCGCUGCUUUCACUAUUCGGUGACAAUCAUAAUUAUCUCUAGUGCUCGUUUGCUUGGGAUUAAGGGUUGGUCUUAUAAAAAAAACGUUUAUCCAGCUAGGAUUAGGAAUGUUAAUUAGGGCUUUAGUUAAAUGGACAUAAACGGGCCUGGUGUAAUAUUUUUGUCCGUUAAAAGCCCGAUUAUUUAACAAUCCUAAACGGGCUUAGUUGGGUUGUUAUGUUAGAAAGUUUGUUGUUUCUAUAAAACCAAACUAUUCUCAAACUAUAUAUGUUUCAGCUUUUAUUAGUUCUCGUAGUUACAGAUAAUGUGAAUAGUUGGCAUGUUCCGUUUGUCAUUUUAUAAUUGCAUCUAGAGCAUCUAGAUGCUUCAUCCAAAUGUUGUAUGUAUACACUGUAUUUGGAUUUGUUAAGUUUUUUCUUCUGUUAUGCAUCAAGAUGUUAUAUUUAAAUAUUAGAACUUUAUUUAUUUGAUUUGAGUAACCGAAUAUGCGUCUGCACUGUACAACUCUUUGGGCAAAAGAAUGUGUUAGUCUUUGGACUUUAUACUUUAUAGUCUAUUUAGAUUGCUAUCUCAUCUCCUCGCGAAGACGCGAGAAACGUAAAAACACAACCGCUCCAAACAUGUCUUUACCACUCAUUUACAGUUUUACGAACCCUUUUUUUUAACACAACUUAAUUUCAUUCGAUCUCAACUCUUUCGGUUAUAAUAAAAAGAGGAAAGACCAUCUUCUUUGAUUCAAAAUAUAAAACUACAAAAACACAAGCAGAUAGACAAGAUAAUACUUCAUGAGAAGAUGACAGCAAAUUCAAUACGAAGCUCGAAUGCGUCGAUAAAGCUUUUACGACAAAGUCGAAUAGCUGAAAGAUAUUCACAUAAAGAGGUAAUGUUAACACCCAAUCCGCACCUCGUAGUAUCAUCGAAACGAAAUCCGUUGCAUCUUCAGACCCCAAACAAACCACUACACAAAAUAGCAAAACUGUUAUUAUAUGGAUGGCCACUUCCAUUUAACGUUUGGAAAGAAAACACUCCUUAACAAGGAGGUAGUGGAUAAAGCGGUUCGCUUCUCUAACAAGAAGGAUGCUAGUGGUGAUGAAGACGAUCCCGGUAGACCAACUAGUAAUGGAAUAGAACGUAAGCUCUUCGCACAAGAGAGAUGCAUUGUUAUAUGUAAACCCGUUUCGGUACCGAAAAGGGAACUAGUUAUUUUCCGUUCCAAUGGCUGAGAGAGACGUCGAACAGGUAAACUAUAUUCUUAAAGAGGUUUUUUUACAAGAACUUGUCCCUUAAUCUUUUGUUGUUGAAUGAUUGAACAAAGAUUAGAAUAUGGACUACUUCUGUUCAUAUAUGCUUAGGAUGUGCUCUCUCUUUUCAUCAACCUGUGUUCCUCUGUAUAAGUCAUUGGAAAUUGAUCCUUUUUGACCAAAUCCAACAGGCCAUUACGUCACUUAAGAAAGGUUCCUACUUGCUGAAAUACGGUCGCAGGGGGAAGCCUAAGUUCUGUCCAUUCCAGCUUACAAGUGUAAGAUUUUCUUGGACGCCAUAACAUCUUCCGUUUAUAUUCUUCUUGUUUGCUAUCUCUUAAUUUAAACAUGUGAAUAUAUUAUCCUAGGACGAGUCAACAUUAGUAUGGUACUCUGGCAAAGAAGAGAAGCAGAUUAAGCUUAGUCAAGUCCUCAGAAUUGUUCCUGGACAACGCACGGUCAGUUUUCUCAUGAAUGCAAUAUGCAUGUAAACAAGUACAUUUCCUUGAACAAAAAAAAAAAAAAGCUUCUGAAAUCUGUUUCUAUUACAUUUCAACUUAGUAAAGAUGGUUUCUUGUUUACCUCAUCCUAGACUCAACGGCUAAAGUUUGUUUCAGGCUACAUUUAAGAGAUAUCCACGACCGGAGAAAGAGUAUCAGUCCUUUUCCCUCAUAUGUCCUGAUAGGUCCUUGGAUUUGGUGAGUCUUUUUAAUGCAAUCUUACCAUGAAAUAGCAUUCGUUGGACCAUGAACUUGAACGCUACAUGUGCAUAACAUCAAGGUCUAGAAGGAAAAAAUCGUGAAACAUCAUAUUUUAUUUAUCCAUUAUGAUGUUGAUGAUGUUUUUGUUUAGAUAUGUAAAGACAAGGACGAAGCAGAAGUGUGGGUUGUUGGUUUGAAGGCACUGAUCACUCGUGUAAAAAUCUCCAAAUGGAAAAACACUAUUAAACCUGAGAUCACUUCACCUGAAUGUCCAACCCCUCAUGCACGGAGAGUGUCUCCCUUCGUAUCAAUCCUUGUGAGUACCACAACAUUUCACGUUCUUUAUGAAAAUUUGAAACAACAACCUUAUACUUUGCAUUAUUGUUACGUACAGGAUCAAGUUACUCAGCCCUCUACCGAGACUUCUACACCAAACCGGUUAGGAAAAGUCUUUUCUGACAUUGUCUCAAUAACUGCACCAGACAAUAACAAUCAGACAGAAGCCAAUACUCUCAAUCCUAACCUAUACUGUCCUAUUUCUCCUGGGAAUGUCGAAAACCCGAAUUCACGGUUCUCCAUGGGGGGUGACCUGGCUAGACUCAGCCUAUCUAGCGCUGUGAGUACAUCUAGCCACGGUUCGUAUCACGAAGAGUUUGAUGCUUUAGGUGAUGUUUUCCUCUGGGGUGAAGCUAUAAGUGAUGGUGUACUAAGUGGUACUGGAAAGACAUUACAUUCCACUACAGAGGAUGCACUUUUACCAAAAGCAUUAGAGUCAACAAUAGUUCUCGAUGCUCAAAACAUAGCAUGUGGUAGGUGUCAUGCCGUUUUAGUUACAAAACAAGGAGAGAUCUUCAGCUGGGGAGAGGGAACAGGUGGGAAACUAGGACAUGGCUUAGAAAAAGAUACCCACCAACCAAAGUUCAUUAGUAGUGUCAGAGGGAUGAAUUUCAAAUCUUUAGCCUGUGGUGAAUUUCAUACAUGUUCUGUUACUCAAUCUGGUGAUCUUUAUACUUGGGGUGACGGCACUCGAAAUGUCGAUUUGCUUGGUCAUGGGAGUGAAUCCAGCUGCUGGAUUCCCAAGAGGGUGACUGGUGUCUUACAAGGAAUGCAUGUGUCUUAUGUGGCUUGUGGUCCUUGGCAUACAGCAGUGGUUGCAUCAUCAGGACAGUUGUUUACAUUUGGAGACGGAUGUUUUGGUGCACUAGGUCAUGGAGACAGAACAAGCUCUAGUGUUCCGCGCGUAGUUGAAAGCCUAAGUGAAGUAAGAGUAAUGAAGGUUGCUUGUGGAUUUUGGCAUACAGCUGCAGUGGUGGAGGUUACAAAUGAAGCAUCUGAUGCAGAGCUCUACUCUUCGUGUGGACAACUGUUCACAUGGGGAGAUGGUGAGAAAGGCCAGCUUGGUCAUGGUGACAAUGCGGAAAAGCUACUCCCCGAGUGCGUAACCUCAUUGGCAGAUGAAAAAAUCUGCCAAGUUGCUUGUGGCCAUAGUCUCACCGUUUCUCUUACAUCCAAUGGACAUGUGUUUACAAUGGGUAGCCCGGCUUACGGCCAGCUGGGCAACCCUACGGCCAAGGAGAAGGUCCCUUCACGCGUCGAAGGAGACAUAACAGAGACUUGUGUAGAGGAGAUUGCGUGUGGUUCUCAUCAUGUGGCUGUGUUGACAUCUAAAUCAGAGGUUUACACUUGGGGAAAAGGAUUAAAUGGUCAGUUAGGACACGGAACCGUUGAGAACAAAAGAGAACCUGCUGUUGUUGGGUUUUUGAAAGAAAAACAAGUCAAGGCUAUAACAUGUGGUUCCAACUUCACUGCUGUGAUUUGUCUUAACAAAUGGGUACCUGGCUCUGAACAUUCUCUCUGUGCUGGUUGCCGUAACCCUUUCAAUUUUAGAAGAAAACGUCACAAUUGUUACAACUGUGGUCUCAUCUUUUGUAAAGUAUGCAGCAGUAGAAAGUCUUUGAGAGCUGCUCUUGCGCCUGAUAUGAACAAACCAUAUAGAGUGUGUUAUGGAUGUUUCACCAAGCUGAAAAGGUCUAGAGAACUGUCUCCUCCUCCUCCUACUCCACGUACAAGAAACCUUUUGAAUAUGCGAAAAUCGACCGAUGUUUCAGAAAAAACUCCAAAACUCCUCUCACCACACUCCAGAAUAGCCUCGGCUGACUCUUUAGUGCAAUAUGGCGAAGGAAGACACAGCAAAAGAGACGUGAAACCGGAAGCAAGUAACAGUAAUGUCUUCGCCUUAGGCAGUGUACAGCCAGCUAUGUCGCCGUUAUUAAGAGGAUCAAUAGCUUGGCCUAGAAUCUCCAAAAAUAUGAUAGUUAAAGUUCCUGGUUCAAGAGUUAGCUCUCGCACAGCGUCUCCUGUUUCAGUGAAGUCAACUAGUCCACGCCCAUCUCAUGAAGUAACAACUGAUGAAUCUAAACACAUAAAAGACAGUUUUGGUCAAGAAAUUGUGGGUCUAAAGGAACAUGUACUUCUUCUCUCUAACCCUCUUUUAUUUUCAGCUGUAUAUCACAUGCAUGCAUCUAAUAUUUAAUAUCUAAUGAAAAAUGAAGGUAGAACAACUGACUUCCAAAACACAACAACUUGAAGAAGAACUUGAAAAAACUAAAAGGCAGUUGAAAGUGGUCACUGCAAUGGCAGCAGAUGAAGCAGAGGAAAACAGAUCCGCAAAAGAGGUUAUUAGAUCUCUAACCACUCAGGUACAUUUAUCUUACUUCUUAUGUUUCUUAUAUCGAUGUCGCAUAAUGUUAACAAUGGUCUUGCAGUUGAAGGAAAUGUCUGGAAGAUUACCUCAAAAGGAUGAUACUAGCACUAACUUAAGACACACAGAAAAAGAGACAACAUUAGAGAGUCAAACUCAGACUAGUUCCCAGACACAUAUAAGAAGUAUGGUCCCUCAUGAUAGUCAAUCAGAAAACAACUUAAGUAAGAGUUUUGUUAAUGGACAUAGAAGACAUAAUGAGAAGGCAGAGAGAGUUGUGCAAGACGAACCUGGAGUUUAUUUGACACUGUUGUCUUUACCUGGUGGUGGUAAUGAACUCAAGCGUGUCCGGUUCAGGUACAUGAAUGCUUCUUUUUCUUCUUAAGAUGCUAAUACAAUCUCGCCUUUUUAAACCAACACGACAAGACAUCAUUUUACGUGGCUCGUCAUCAUGUUGACAUGUAACGUCGAUGUUUCUUGUGCAGCCGGAAACAGUUUACUGAAGAACAAGCAGAGAAGUGGUGGGGUGAAAAUGGAGGUAAAGCUUGUGAGCGACACAACAUUCUAGUUUCCUAGGAUCUCAUUUGUCUUCAAUAGAGAAAGAAAGGGAGAGAGAGACAGACAAAGACAAAGAAAAGAUAGCGACAUGUAGAAUAAAUAGAGAAACAUAUGUUUUGAGGGUUAAAACCAACAUGUUUUCUGCUAUCAAUAGAAAAAAGUUUGAUGAACUGAGUAUUGCGUGGUUCCCAAGGAAUAUGAGCAUUUAAACGAGGAAUAUCUCUGUUGAAUACGUGUAAGUAAAGAAACAGUUCUACAAUAAUCAUAAUCACCAAGAAUGCAUCAAUCACAACAAGUCAACAACACUGAGGAAACCUGAUGAGCUCUUAUUAACUGACAAUAGUCAUAAUCACCAAUUAUUCAAAUGGGAAAUUUGGUUUGGUUUUAGAUUGUUUUUUGUCAAAAUAAAAAGAAGAUAAUAGGUUUGUGUUCGAUUGUAUUUCUUUUUGUAAAGUAUGUUAUUAAUUGUUUGUCAAAAAAAGAGUAUGUUAUUAAUUUUUUGGAUUGAAAAAUCUUUACGGUAGAAUAAGAUCUUUUCGAGUUUUGAAUUCGUGAUUUAUUUGUGCCAGAUUUUUUUUUUAACUGGUUUGGUUUGGGUUUUGUUAAGAUUUAAGUCAGAUGAAAUUUCAAUUUGGUUUAAUAAGGAGCUUACAUAUAUAAACAUUAUACCAAUUUGUCUAUAUAGACGUUUUCAACUCCAACAUUGAAAGGAUAUCUACUUUUAGCAAAAAGAAAAGAUUAUAAUUUUGUAUCCAUUUAUUAAUUAAUUACUAUAUGAUACUAUCUUAUUCUCAAAUUAAGUGAUGGUAGAUCACAAAAGGCCAACUUUCGUUGUCUCGGUUGAUACCUAUUUUUGUCUCUUCAACUUUUGUUUUGGGAGAAUGUUGUUUUGGGAGAAUGAGUCUAGAAGGAUAAUGAAUAAGAUCAUGCUGACUCAGAGGAGGUUACGUAACGUGGAAAGGCUAGUCAAAGUAGAGAGUACGGUAGUAGUGAGAGGUAUCAUUUGGAUGAUCAUUGUAAACUCUAGUUUAUAGUUUGGCCACUUUUAAUUUUUUUAGUAAUUUAUAAUUCAUAGGCAUAGACUCAAUUUACUAUGCGUUGUGAUUAGCCAUAGACUCAAUUAAGGUUAUUAAUUAAGUAGAAUACUGCCAUCAAUAUAAACAUUUACUUAUCACAAUUGUAAAGUAAGUUAUUAACAUAAUCUUGGUUAAAGUUAUUAAUGUCAUUUUCUGAGAAAUACAUUAAGCUUAUUCAUACAUGAAACAUGUGCCAUUUAUUUAUAACAACAUUCCAAACAAUCAUUUCAAAUUACACAUUUUGGCCAGUCUAAAUAAUUACAAUCAUCAUGAGUCUCCACUCUUUAGGCUUGGCCCAUGGCACAAGCAAAGUAAGCAAUGGCUUAAGUCCCAACAAAUUUAUGAAGUUUUUUUAAGCUAAGAAAAAAUAAAUCUGAAAAUAUUUAUAUAGAAAAAGGACACAUUUUUUUCUGAUUUGAAUAGGGCUAUAUUUUGGGUUGGGCUGUCCCUGUGAGUCUCCAUUGUCGAAAUCAUAUAUAUAUCUUUAGACUCAACUUCUUCUCUGGUUUUUAGUUAUUUAUCCUUGUUUUGUAUUUAAAAAUUUUAAUGUAAAAAUAAAUACAAAUUAUGAAAGGAUUAUUUUAGAAUUUAUGAAACCCAAGUGUGCCACGACAGAAUUUGAUUUAUGUAAAAUUUGUUCAUGGGUUCACCACUGAUGGUGGAUCAUAUAAAGGCUUUGGCAUCACCACAUAUGAGUGCGUUUCAUAGCAGAGGACACUUUGCCGAAUCAAAUCCUCUAACGUAAAAAACUAACACGUUUGGCUAGGAAGCAUCAACAGUGAGUUGUUUUUUCACUGGAGCAAGUAAGAAAAUUAAGGCCCCGACAAAAUAUCAAAGAACCCAAUGGGCCGUUAUCUAGCUAAAACUUAGGGCUUUUCUGUUAUCUCACCUAUAUAAAGAACAUUACGCAACUCAUUUUUUAACACUAGGGUUCCCGAAGCCGUCACCAACGAACACCAACGCGAUGGGGCGAAGUAAGUCUCAUCUUCAAAUCUCAUUUCGAAUUGCCUGAAUCCUUGAAUCGAAUCGUGCUUCUGCUAAUCGUGCCAUUGAUUGUAGGACCUGCGAGAUGUUACCGUCAGAUCAAGGGGAAGCCAUACCCGAAAUCGCGAUACUGCCGUGGUGUCCCCGACCCCAAGAUCCGAAUCUACGACGUCGGGAUGAAGAAGAAAGGAGUCGACGAGUUCCCAUUCUGCGUCCACCUCGUCUCAUGGGAGAAAGAAAACGUCUCCAGCGAAGCUCUCGAGGCCGCGCGUAUCGCUUGCAACAAGUACAUGGUGAAAUCAGCUGGGAAAGAUGCUUUUCAUUUGAGGAUUAGGGUUCAUCCUUUCCAUGUUCUGAGGAUCAACAAGAUGCUUUCGUGCGCUGGGGCUGAUAGGCUUCAGACUGGUAUGAGAGGUGCUUUUGGUAAGGCUUUGGGGACUUGUGCUAGGGUGGCGAUUGGGCAGGUGCUUUUGUCUGUGAGGUGUAAGGAUAACCAUGGGGCUCAUGCUCAGGAGGCGCUCAGGAGGGCUAAGUUUAAGUUCCCUGGUCGUCAAAAGAUCAUUGUUAGCAGGAAAUGGUAUGGGUUGUGUUGUCGUUUUCUCUUCUGUUUGUUACCGUUUAACUGAAACGUUGGAUGAUGUUUCAGGGGAUUCACCAAGUUCAACCGUGCUGAUUACACUAGGCUGAGACAGUCCAAGAGGAUUGUUCCUGAUGGUGUCAAUGCUAAGGUACUGUUCUUGUAUCUGUCUUUAGAAUGUUCGUGGAAGGCAUUGCUUGUGUAGUAUCUGUUGGAGUAUGUUGAUUGGAAAUUGGAAAACCAAAAUUUGAAAUAGUAUUGUGGUAAUUGUGAUGGGUAUUGCCUGUGUUAUAAUUUGUCUAGUUUUAUGCACCAUUUGAGCUACAGCUUUUCUUGUUUAUUGAUUUUGAUUUAUGUUUUGUCUUUGUGUUGCAGUUCUUAUCGAACCAUGGUCGUUUGUCUAACCGUCAACCUGGAAGUGCGUUCAUAUCAGCCACCAGCGAUUAAGAGUGAAGAUGAUGAUUUGUGGUUGUAGUACCGAUAAUUCUCUAGUUUCCGAAGUUAUUCGUUUUGUUUUUGUUGUAACAGUUAAAAACAAAUCCUCGUUUCCUUUUUUUC